rnacentral:rRNA from 1 species
GACGAACCGUCCUAACGUUAUUCGGAAUUACUGGGCUUAAAGCGCGUGUAGGCGGGUCGGCACGUUCGUCGCUGAAAUCCCACGGCUCAACCGUGGAACCGGCGUGAAUACGGCCGACCUGGAGGGGUGUAGGGGGACCUGGAACUUCCGGUGGAGCGGUGAAAUGCGUUGAGAUCGGAAGGAACGCCCGUGGCGAAAGCGAGGUCCUGGACACUUUCUGACGCUGAGACGCGAAAGCCAGGGGAGCAAACGGG